CGCCCCUACCUGCCACCGGGACGUGCUGGCUCCUGCCGGGGAGCGCUUCUUCCUUCUGCGGUAAUCGGGAGCCCGAGUCGCCCAUCCGGAAGAUCUAUACUCGCUCCACUGUCUGCCAAGAAUGCAUUUCUGAAAAAUGCACCAGUUCAUGACACAAUGGAUAGCCACGUAAUUUUCCCUUAAGAGUUAAUGUAUCUACCGGUGAGCCUGAAUGCCAGCCUGGAUCUUUUACCAUGAGCAUCCUUGCUGCCUCUUUGUGAAAGGCUACAUUUUCGUUGCCGUCCUCUUUGCAUGAAUCAGGGUCAGUCAGAGGUGAAGGGCAGAAAACCAGACUAAUGUUUGGCUGUUCAGUCUCGCAGAUGAAGUGGCUGAGAUGUUGCAGAGCCCUGAUGUGCUCCGAAAUGCCAGCUGCUGAAAAGCCAGCGUUGUCUCCACUCAAAUGAUCCCAGUGAUCCUCUGUGCCAUACAUGCUGUCCCUGUGUAUUUAUAUUGUGAGUAUCCCUUAAAUCAUAGGUGUCCUUUCCAGUACAUUAAUUCUUAGAGGAAAAAUUGCUUUGUCACCCAUUGUGUUCAGCUGCUUCAUUUGUGAGGCUGGUAACAGCAGAGCAGGGUACGGAAGGAUUGGCAUUGGGACUCCAAAACAGUGGUUAGAGCAGUGACAGUGGGGCUGCUGAUGCAUUUUGAUUACAGCUAUUAUGAGCAGGAAACAAUCUUUCAUUCUGUGUCUUUAUGGCCCUUCACACACUGUGUUCCUGCUUCGUAACUGGAUCCGAACUAUUAAAUAGUUAUAAGCCAUCAUGCCACUUAACAAAUAAAAACUGCCAAUUUUCAGAAGUGUUUAGUGCUUCUUGGCUCCACAGAAACAGAAUACUUUUUAAAUGAGAUGAAUCCUGUUUACAUUUCAGGAAUGCGUGAACUAUCCCCUUCUCUCAUUCCACAGGUUGAUAUCUGGGUGCGAGAGUCUGAAAAUUAAAUUCUAACUUUAAAAAAUGUUCUUGAUACGAAUUUACCUGUAAUGAAGAGAUUUCUUUUAUCCAGUUUUUGUUAGCCAGAGUUACUGCUGUAGACUAUGAUCAUCCCUCAAGAUAAACAGGACUCUAGGAAGUGAAGUAUGUUUUCCAAUUCUUAUGAGAUGUUUGAAGGAGUGCGGUGAAGAUGAUUGAACAGAUGAGCUUCCCCUCAAGGCCCUGUUUCGCCCUGGCCAGCAUCUUCCCAGGGAUGCUGGUCUGGGGAUGCUGGUCCAGGGAUGCGGGCUGCUUCCCUGAGCCCUCUCGUGGACUCCUUCCUCCACUGCAGCAGGCAGUUCCUACAAACGAGGCAAUUAGUGUGCUCCAGGAAGAUGAUCUUUAUGAAACGUGAGCUGUUUCCUCAUCUCCAUGCAUCAGAAAAGCCUAUGAGGAAAAAAAAAAAAAACAAACCACCCAAAAAACCAACCAAACCAAACCAAAAAAACACCCCAACAGACUGGUAUUUCAUUAAAGGUGAUGAGGAAUUUGUAGGGCUUUGACCACAGAUAUCUUAUUUUUGCUCUGGCAUCCAGCAAUAACAGUGAUUAUUGAAUUGCAACACAGAAAGCUCUUCUGGGGAUAGAUAUGCAGCACAGCCUGUCAUUGCUUGGCAAAAUGCACUUAGGUGCUGAUGUAAAUGGAAAGGUUGUCUAUUCGAGAUAGUUUCAUUGGAGAAAUCAUAAUAAAAUGGAUUAAGAGACACCUGAAAUGCUUCUCGGUUUUAAACAAAAAUAUCAGGACAUUUCCUGACAGCAUCUGGAUUCUUGAGGGAAAUUAAAUGCCAGGUAAUAUUCUGUUUGGAAGAAAAUAAAUUAACAGCAUAUGUAAAAUAUAUCUGACUGCCUAUUAAAUUAUCUUUUUUAUCAUC